UACGAAGGGGGCUAGCGUUGUUCGGAAUUACUGGGCGUAAAGCGCGUGUAGGCGGGUCUUUAAGUCUGGGGUGAAAUGCCAAGGCUCAACCUUGGAACUGCCUUUGAUACUGGAGACCUUGAGUCCGGGAGAGGUGAGUGGAAUUGCGAGUGUAGAGGUGAAAUUCGUAGAUAUUCGCAAGAACACCAGUGGCGAAGGCGGCUCACUGGCCCGGAACUGACGCUGAGAUGCGAAAGCGUGGGGAGCAAACAGG
rnacentral:rRNA from 1 species